rnacentral:misc_RNA from 1 species
CAUAUAUAUAUAUAUGGAUCAUCAUCUAGCUAGGUUUAACUUUUGGUUCUGAUAAUGGUGAUUGUGCCUCUUCCUUGCGUGUGGAUUCUUGUAAGGGCCACCACGGCUUUCCCUGAAAGGCCUGGUCCGUCAGUUGACACGCAUGGCCUACAAGCAAAAUCACCCACCGGAUGCCUUACCGGCCUUGUCGGUGGCAUUAAGAUCCUCUCAUUGAUAUCGUUUAUGGUCAUGUCACCUUCAACGCCUCCUGGUUUCACUAGUGCAAAUGGAUACACCACCCUAGUUAUCACCCUCUUUUUUCUCUUAUCCUCAACAGGAAGUUGAUGCAGGCUGUCCUUGUCAAAUAUGGACUUCAUUUUAGCUGAGUCUUUGUAGGAAGAAGAUGAAGAAUCGAGAGUUUCAGGAGCUGCUGAUAUUUCCUCUUCUGGGGUUUUCACCUCUGCAAUAACAUUUGCUUCCUCUUCGCUCAUAUUGCUCAUGGGCGUACUUAUGGGUUCAUCUGAAACUCCAUGAAUACUACUGGUAAUGUGACUCAUGCAACUAAAAUUCUCAGACAUUUCCCACUCACAGUUUUCAUUCCAGUAGCUCUUUGCAAGAUGAUGGUCAUCUGAUAUUUUGGUUUGAUCAUCAGGGUACAACAGCAAGCGUCGCCGUUUAGAACGUUCGCUAAAUUCUAGCAAAGCAUCUUCU